rnacentral:misc_RNA from 1 species
GAUGAAGAACGUAGCGAAAUGCGAUAAGUAAUGUGAAUUGCAGAAUUCAGUGAAUCAUCGAGUCUUUGAACGCACAUUGCGCCCCCUGGUAUUCCGGGGGGCAUGCCUGUCCGAGCGUCAUUGCCGCCCUCAAGCACGGCUUGUGUGUUGGGCCCCCGCCCCCCGGCUUCGGGGGGCGGCCCGAAAGGCAGCGGCGGCACCGCGUCCGGUCCUCGAGCGUAUGGGGCUUCGUCACCCGCUCUGUAGGCCCGGCCGGCGCCCGCCGGCGACCCCAAUCAAUCUUGCCAGGUUGACCUCGGAUCAGGUAGGGAUACCCGCUGAACUUAAGCAUAUCAAUAAGCGGAGGA